UACGUAGGGUGCGAGCGUUAAUCGGAAUUACUGGGCGUAAAGCGCACGUAGGCGGAUUUGUAAGUCAGGGGUGAAAUCCCGAGGCUCAACCUCGGAACUGCCUUUGAUACUGCAAAUCUCGAGUCCGGAAGAGGUGAGUGGAAUUCCUAGUGUAGAGGUGAAAUGCGUAGAUAUUAGGAAGAACACCAGUGGCGAAGGCGGCUCACUGGUCCGGUACUGACGCUGAGGUGCGGAAGCGUGGGGAGCAAACAGG
rnacentral:rRNA from 1 species